GACAGAGGGUGCAAACGUUGUUCGGAAUUACUGGGCGUAAAGCGUGUGUAGGCGGCUCUGCAAGUCGGAUGUGAAAGCCCCGGGCUCAACCCGGGAAGUGCACUCGAUACUGCGGAGCUUGAGUGUGGGAGAGGUUGGUGGAAUUCCUAGUGUAGAGGUGAAAUUCGUAGAUAUUAGGAAGAACACCGGUGGCGAAGGCGGCCCACUGGCUCGAUACUGACGCUGAGGUGCGAAAGCGUGGGGAGCAAACAGG
rnacentral:rRNA from 1 species